UACGUAGGGUGCGAGCGUUAAUCGGAAUUACUGGGCGUAAAGCGUGCGCAGGCGGUGAUGUAAGACCGAUGUGAAAUCCCCGGGCUUAACCUGGGAACUGCAUUGGUGACUGCAUUGCUGGAGUAUGGCAGAGGGGGGUGGAAUUCCACGUGUAGCAGUGAAAUGCGUAGAGAUGUGGAGGAACACCGAUGGCGAAGGCAGCCCCUUGGGCCAAUACUGACGCUCAUGCACGAAAGCGUGGGGAGCAAACAGG
rnacentral:rRNA from 1 species